rnacentral:tRNA from 1 species
AGAAAGUAAUGCAAGAACUGCUAACUCUAUGCCUCCGUGCCUACACCCACGGCUUUCUU